rnacentral:rRNA from 1 species
CUACGGGUGGCUGCAGUGGGGAAUAUUGGACAAUGGGCGAAAGCCUGAUCCAGCAAUGCCGCGUGAGUGAUGAAGGCCUUAGGGUUGUAAAGCUCUUUUACCCGGGAUGAUAAUGACAGUACCGGGAGAAUAAGCUCCGGCUAACUUCGUGCCAGCAGCCGCGGUAAUACGAGGGGAGCUAGCGUUGUUCGGAAUUACUGGGCGUAAAGCGCACGUAGGCGGCUUUGUAAGUAAGGGGUGAAAGCCCAGAGCUCAACUCUGGAAUUGCCCUUUAGACUGCAUCGCUUGAAUCCAGGAGAGGUGAGUGGAAUUCCGAGUGUAGAGGUGAAAUUCGUAGAUAUUCGGAAGAACACCAGUGGCGAAGGCGGCUCACUGGACUGGUAUUGACGCUGAGGUGCGAAAGCGUGGGGAGCAAACAGGAUUAGAUACCCUCGUAGUC